rnacentral:tRNA from 1 species
UCCUCGGUAGUAUAGUGGUCAGUAUCCCCCGCCUGUCACGCGGGAGACCGGGAGUUCGGUCCCCGCCGGGGAG